rnacentral:rRNA from 1 species
AGUGAACGCUGGCGGUAGGCCUAACACAUGCAAGUCGAACGGCAGCACAGUAAGAGCUUGCUCUUACGGGUGGCGAGUGGCGGACGGGUGAGGAAUACAUCGGAAUCUACUUUUUCGUGGGGGAUAACGUAGGGAAACUUACGCUAAUACCGCAUACGACCUACGGGUGAAAGUAGGGGAUCUUCGGACCUUGCGCGAUUGAAUGAGCCGAUGUCGGAUUAGCUAGUUGGCGGGGUAAGGCCCACCAAGGCGACGAUCCGUAGCUGGUCUGAGAGGAUGAUCAGCCACACUGGAACUGAGACACGGUCCAGACUCCUACGGGAGGCAGCAGUGGGGAAUAUUGGACAAUGGGCGCAAGCCUGAUCCAGCCAUACCGCGUGGGUGAAGAAGGCCUUCGGGUUGUAAAGCCCUUUUGUUGGGAAAGAAAAGCAGCAGGUUAAUACCCCGCUGUUCUGACGGUACCCAAAGAAUAAGCACCGGCUAACUUCGUG